GGAGGGGGGGAUCACAACUACCAAAUAAAAAAAGAACCAUGUGAAAAAUGUAUUCAAGAAACCUCAAUUAUCAAUAUCACCAACAUAGUUGCUAAAAAAGGCAUUUGUGUUGCCAACACCAGAGAACAGUGGAAAGCAUUACCUUCACUGCAUAUAACUUCCCAUCUUCGAUGUUUCGGUAUAGAACCUUUUUAGAAGGAAAGAGAAAAGGAAAGGAAUCAGCCAGCUACUCAGUGAAGUUCAUUAAUAGCAAAUUUAAGCGGUCUUACCACUUUGCCGUAGCUUCCAGCACCGAUCUUGCCCAGGUGAACAUACUGAUUGAUCAUCUUAUUGCCAAGAUCGUCCUAAAACAUGCCAAAAGGAGGGAGUUAUUAUACAGCUCAGUGCAAAAGGUAAAUGCUCUUACACAGCUCCUCGAUUCUUCAUUAGACAUGCAACGGCUAUGGCAUAGGAAAAAAAACUUGGUCACAAUGUUAGAUCACUGGUCAGAACAGUGGUCACCAAGCACACUGAGUUUAAAAUAAUACUC
rnacentral:lncRNA from 1 species